AGGUCGAAGACUUUUUAUACAUGCCACUAUCGUAUUACGUGAAAUCUUACCUGAGAAUGCAUCGAUCAUCGAGCUCUGGAAGGUAAAAGAAAAUUAUAACAAAAGGUCCUAACAAUCCAAUAGGAUUAUAGAGAAUUUACAAUAAACAUUAAAAAUCAUAAUCAAAUAUUAAGCAAGCUCAAUUAAAUUUUAUUGAAGUUAUAAAAAAAACACAAGAAAAUCCUAAAAAAAUAUAAAAGAAUAUUAAAGAAAACUUAGUCAAACUCUAAUAAAAAUCUAAUAAAAUCUUAAAUUCUAACCAACUCCUAAUCCUAAUCCAACCUUAAUCAAACUCUAGAUAAAUCCUAAACCCUAAACUAAAUCCUAAUCAAAUCUUAAUCAAAUCUUAAUCAAAUCCUAAAUCUUAAACCAAUCCCUAACCAAAUCCUAAUCCUAACAAACAUUAAAUCCUAAACCAAAUCUUAACCAAAUCCUAACUCAAAUCAAAUCCUAAUUAUAGAUUUGAAAAUUAAAUAACUAAAGAUUGAACCAUUGAUUCUAAUUCAAAAUUUAUACACUUCUUAGAAUUUAAGUUAGAAACCAACACACAAAUUUUGAAGAAAAUCACACUCACCAAUUAGUCGAUGACCUCAAAAUUCUACUCGGAUGUCGGUUGGUCUCUCCUAUCUUGUUUCCAACUUUCAGUACUGAUAUCUCCCUUUUCUACCAUUCAAUUUCUUCCAAAUUUUACUUGCAUAUAGGAAAUCAAGUCUUCUAUUGAUAAAACUAAAAAUCUCUCCAAUCCAAUUGGCAGAUUGCUAGAUGUCUAAGAAAACCUUACUGGUCCUCAAAGCCCUAAAUCUCGAGACCUUAGCCCAUAAAAACCUUCAUAUGUAUCGAUCUAGCCAUUCGAUUGACCUCAAAUCUUUUAUACACAUUCACAACAAGCAUACCAAUAAGUCUCUAAAUUUUCACUUGUAAAAAUGCUACAAAAGACACGAAAUCCAAAAAUUUGUAAACCGGUUUUAUUUCUCAAAGUUCUGAAUUCACAGAGAACAUCACUCGCUUUGAAAAUCCCUCAAAAAUCCAAUAUUGAUCCAAACAAUACGAAAUCACCUCUCAAAAAUCCCUCCAUAAGUCUUCUCUCUAAUUUUGCUCUUCAAUCUUCCAAAGAAUCCUGGAGUCGCCAUCAGAGUGCGGUUUUGUGCCUUAGAGUCUGAUUUCGACCCAGGUUCAUAACCGGUCCUCUUCGGGUAUCAACUUUCGUCUUCUUGAGGUAAUUUUUACUAAUUUGCACUUCCAACUUCUCUCUACAUAUGCUUGUGUUCUUUAUUUUUCUAAUCUACCUUGUUUUGUCUUAUUUAUGGCCUUACAAAGUAAAUAGAAGCAUAAUUUGUAAAAAGGCAGCAUUAGCACCUUUAAUUUUUCUAUCCUUUGACUAAUAUCUAUUUUUCCAAGAUAAUUUGCUACAAUAUUUUUGAAGUGAGAUCCUCAAAACAUGAUAUUUUUUUCACCCUUUCACUUGUUAGCCGUAUUACAUCAUGACAUCCACCCCCCAUGAACCUGUGCAUCCUCUAGUAUGCACCAAGUUCGUUCAUUAUAUUGAUAUCGAAUGUUCUUCAUCUUGGUCAAAUUCUUGGUCAAAUUCUUGAUCUUUAUUUUGUUCUUUUUCUUCCAUCUCAAUAUCUCCUAUAAGAUUUUAUUCUUCAUCAAAAAAAAUAUCUUUACCUCUUUGAUUAAACAAUUUGAUUUGCUUGCCUGCUAUUGAUAUCUUUAAAUAUGUACCAUCCAGUUCUCGUAACAAGUAUGUUCCAUUCUCAUGCACUUGUUUGACAACAUAAAGUCCAAAUCAUCUCCUUGUAAAUUUCUUUGCCGUACUAUGUUGGUUGUCCAAACUACUAUCAUAAACCAAUAUCCAAUCACCAUUUUGAAUUGGUUUUGGACGCAAUCGAUGCUUUUUGUCAAACCUCUCCUUGUUUUUUUCUCUCACUUCUUUCAACUUUCUCACAACUACUUCAAUGUCCUCGGGCCUUCUUUCAAGUUGUUAAAUUCGUUAUGCCAAUAACUCUUCUCUUGUUAAACUAUCUUUCCAAUGUAAUAUAGUCCAUGUUGAUAUAACCCCCUCUAUCAACAUUAUCGGUUUUUGAUCAUACAUCAAUUCUGUUGCUAUGAAAAUUAGUAACCGUACUAUAAGUUGUGCGAUCCAUCCAUAAUGCAAAUGGUAAUAAUUUAGGCCAAUCACUUAUCUUGUCUUUGCAUGCUUUAAUCAAUGCUUUAAUAAUCGGAGAAUAUCCACGUUCACUCUUGCCAUUUUCUUUCGGAUUAUAUGCUGUUGUCAAUGCAAGUUUAAUAUCCAUUCUUUCAAAGAAUUCUUGUGCUUCAUUUGCAUCCAAUUCUCCUCUAUCUACAGUGAUUUUUCCAAUACAUCCAUACCAGCAAAUAAUUUCUUUUAAUAUAAACUGGCAUACUCUUUCCAUAGUCUUUGUUGAAAGUGCUCUUCUCUCUACUUGAUUUGUCAAAUCUUCCCGAGCAAGUACCAAAUAUUUCCUCUGACCAAAUCCCAUUGGCAUUACAACUAAAUCAACCACCCAUUUAUAAUGAAUUAUUAAUAGGUAUGUAGGAUGCAAACCAUCUCGAUGAUGAAUAUUUGAAUACAUUUGGCAAGUUUUACAAGAUCCUACAAAAUCCGCCACAUCCCUAUACAUGCCUUUCUAUCAAUAUUUUUCUUUCAACUUAAUAAAUGUUGCCCAAAUACCUCGAUGGCUUAUCCAUAAACUUUCAUGAAAUUCCUUAAUAAUCUUUUGUUGAGCUUCUAAACCACAUAUCACUCGUUGUGGUACUUCUCCUCUCUUCUUUGGAUGCUUCCAUAAAUACCCAUCGUGUAAAAAAUAUCCAUAGGCUUUCUUUCGGAUUUUCUUAAAUUCUUGAUCUGUCCAACCAUCUUGUCACUUUAAUAUGCUUAAAUACUCUCCAAUGUCUUUCCAUUUUUCUUCAUAUAGAUCUCUUGAAAAUAUUUCUAAUUGUAUAUUCAAACAUAUACUUUCUUCCUUUGAUAAUUCAUUAGUAUAAAAAUAUGUAUCCACAUCAUCUUUUAAAUCUAUCAUAUCUUCUUCAUCGUAAUAUCUUGCUCCUGAUAACAUAUCUACGACUGAAUUUUCUUUUCAUGUAAUAUGUUUAAAUUCUAAAUUUAUAGAUUUGAUAUAUGCCAUCCACCUUUACAUAGCAAUAUCGAGAGUUGAACAACUUGUAAUCAUACCCAAUAAAGGUAGACAAUUUGUUUCUAAAACUACUGAUGUAUCAAUCAAAUAUUCCCUAUCAUUUUUCAUAGCUAUUACUACACCCCAUAAUUCUCUUUUGAUUUGUGCAUAUAUCCUUUGUCUAGCAUUCAAAACCUUUGCUCCAAAUCUUACUACAUAUUUAUUCCUUUGUUCAUCAUCUUGUCCAACUGUUCAACUUAUUCUAAUUGGACUUGCAUCAGCUGUUAAUAUUAUUGGCCUUCCACAUUCAUAAUUUAUUUUCUUCAAAGUUGGAGGUGAAGAAAGAAAUUCUUUUAACUUUGCCAUAACUUUUCUUUGUUCUUUUUUUCAUUGAAAUUUUUGAUUCUUUUGUAACAACUCAUAUAAUGGAUCUGCUAUAUGUACAAAAUGAGGUAUCCAUAUAUGAUAGAAAAUACAUGCUCCUAAAAACCUCCUAACUUUCGUCGUAUUUACAGACUCUUGGAUUUUUUUAUAAUAUCAAAUUUUUUCUUACUUGGUUUGCGCCCAUAUGAACGACACAUGUGUCCUACUAUCAAAACUUCUUUUACUCCAAAUAUUGAUUUUGUCCCUGAUAAGGUUAAAUGAACUUCUUCUAGCCUUGUUAAAAUCUUCUCACAAUCAUCAAUAUGAUCUGCCACAAACUUCCUACAUCCCUUUGAAUCUAAUGUCUCAUCCUUUCUUUCUUCUUCACAUCCCUUAAUUGACACAUCAUCUAGAAUAGGCAUUAUUAUUCUUGAAAUAAAAUCUCUUAGUACCUUAUGCAUUCCAUUCAUCACGUGUGCCACAGAAUUUGUAGCUCCUUGUAGUAACGUACACAUUCUGACCAAUCCCAAUGGUGUCUUCAUAGUUGUCAAAUCUCUACUUUACAUUGCCAAUUGAAAUUGAUCGUAUCCUGAGUAAAGAUCUCCCAUAGAAUAAAUUGAUCUCCCUACAAAUGCCUCUGCAAACUCAUCCACAAUUGGACUCGAGCCCAUGUUUCUAAUAGUUAUUUUAUUUACCGGUUGCAUAUCUUGAAUAAACCUCAAUGUUCCUAUUUUUCUUAGGUACUUUGAACCACCGAUUGGAAUAUGGUGCAAUAGAUGGUUCUAAAAUUUCCAUCUUAAUUUUUUCAUUGAGUAAUUCAACUGGCUUUGGUAAAUGGCCCUUUGGAAUUGGAAUUGGCCUCAAAUUCCAUGGUUCAUGCGGAAUUGUAAAAAUAACCAUAGGUGCUACAAUACUCGGAUUAAUGCACCUUAUUUCAUGUGAUUCAAAUGUAAAUACUUUACCAUGUUGUGAAAGCAUUUCUUUAAAAAAUCUCUCUUCAUCUCUUGUCAAAAAUUUAUCACAUCCAAUUUUUAAACCAUCUAACGUCAAAUUAUCGUUGAAUUCAUGACCUAUUUUUCUUGGAUCUCUUAAGUAAGGUUGCAUAGAAGCCUCUUUAAUCCUUUCCUCAUAAUCCAAUGGUAGUAGCAAUGCCACUGGUUUAACCUUCCUUGCAAUAGUCUUGUAUUUUGUGUUCACCUUCACUUCAUACCUAUCCAUAUAUUCUUUUAUUUCAUCAUAAAAUUGCUUAAAAUGGACAUUUAUUACUUUAUCACUUCUUUUAAAAUCUCCAUUCAAUAAUAUUUGUAAAUCAUCCAUAAUAUCACCAAAACAAGAUUCUUCAAACAUCCCUGAUAUGUAUUCAUCUUCAUCAAUCAUUCCACAUUUCUUUAAUCCAUGUUCUACAUUCUUAACAUUUUUCUUAUCUAUCCUACUAAAAUUAUUUAUGUUUUUGAAUAAAAUAUAUCCGUCUCACAUUAAUCCUAUAAUAUCUUCAUCUUUUCUAUUAGGCGGGAAGCCUUCACUCUUUUUACCAUUGCAAUCCCGCUUUACAAUGGCGUCUAGUAAAAAUCCUUUGAAUCUUCAAGAUCUUCAAAUUAUUUAUGUAUCUUUGGCAAAAGAUGUUCCCUCAAACUAUCCCUAUUUCUUCCAUGAUUUGUACAAACUAUUAAAAAUUGCACUGCCCUCUUUCCGUCUUGACUUCUUAUCUUUGCAUAAGCUGAUACAUCAUCCAUAACCUUUGCCUCCAUUCAUGUAGCAGUAAUAUAUGGUUGUCCUAAUAUAAUAGGAUAUGUAGACAUAUCUUGUAUAAAGAAAUUUUGUUCAUGAAUAACAUCUCCUACUGUCACCUUGAUAUUUGGACAAGCUCCUUACAAAUUUCCCUUUGAAAUAUUUGCUGCUCUUAUCAUCCACCUAUGCUCAAUAUCAAUAGGCCAAUUUUCCUUUUUAUAUAAUUCUGUUGACAUUAAAUUUAUUUCAGAACCAUGAUCAAUCAAUGCUACAAUUGGUUCUUCUAAAUCUCCGAAUUUUACUAAAGUUUCUGUAGUAGUCCUUUCCCAAUGACUCCAAGAAUAAUGAUUAGAAGCUUGAAUCAUAUCUUCUUUUCUUGUAAAUUUGACUCGUGAAACAUCUCCAAUAAUUUGUAUUUCAAUUUCUUCAUCUUCAUUACUUCCUAUUAUCUUUGUACCUUGUGCAUUUGAUUUCAUAGUAUCACCAAUAGAUUGCCGUUUUCUUUUUAUUGUAUCAAUAACAACUUCAUGAAAUUCUCAUUUUGUAAUUCCUAGAAUUUUAUCAAUUGGAAAUUCAACCUUUCCACUUAAAAUCUGCUCCUCCAAUACUUUCUUCAAAUCUGUAGCAGCUUCAAUAUCUGAUUGUAAUUUAUAAGCAGGAACCUUUAUUUUUCUUUCACAAUCUCUCUCUCUUUUGUAGAAAUAUUCUCUAUUGUCUCUUCAUGCAUAGGAUUCUUCUGUUGUCGAGUUUUAUAUCUUCUUGUGAUUCUUUUUGAUGGCCUUUCAUGAUUUUCAUCUCUCCUUCAUUUUUCUUCUAUUAAUGCUUAAUGUUGACUACUUACAAUAUGAGCAUGAACUGAUAAUAUAUCUACUGGAUCAUCCCACCCAGUAAUUUGCUGAAUGUCAUUGCCAACAUGUUUUAGAUCAUCUCUAGUAAAAUUUCCCUUUUAGCAUAAUUCAUUGCACUUGACUAUAAAGAACUAGAUUCUCUUGGAUACUCAAGAUUUAUACUUAAGCAUUUGCUUGGAUUUGCCUCCACUCAAAAUGUUGAUGCUUCAUUGCUUGAAAUUGUAUGCACCUUGAAAUCAUCUCCUACAAAUACCUUCAUUCUCCCUUUACCAAAAUUUGUCUCUAAUUUUUCUCCACUCUCUUUUAAGUGUAUCAUACCAUCUUUAAAUAAAAUAACUCCUUUGUGUAGUACCUCUGAAAAAUCCUCACACUCCUUUCUUGAAUGAUCUAUGCUAUUACACCACAUACACCUAUACACCAUACCUUCUAUUGGUCUUAAAUUUUAUCUUAUUGAUAUUCUUGAUGCUUGAUCCAUCUCUUCAAGUUUUGCAAAUUUUAUUUGUACAUGUCUCAUCUCUCGUAUGAUUUCAUCAAUGCCCAUUUCUUCUCUCUUUGAUGUAGCCAUUGAAGGUUGAAUCAUAUAUGUAUGAUAGAUAGCAAGCAUUUUUCUUUUAGAUGCUUGCAAUGGUCUUUAAAUUUCCAUCCUAUCUUUUCUCCUUUCUCUUUUUGCAAGCGCUCCAAUCGCCUCUUCUACUUUCUCCCAUUUUCUUGUCAAUCCUUCAACUUCUUCUUUAUCUUCCAGCAAAAUUUCCAACUUCUCUUGCAACUCUCCAUUAGCCACUUGAAGAAAAAGCUCUACUUUACUUAGAUCUAAUAAUUGCCUCUCUUUCUUUGUUAAAUAAGAAUAUUACUUUUCAAACUCCCUUAGUAACUCCAUUGCUAGUAGAUCCUUCUUAGACCUUUCAAUACAUUCAAAAAAUGACUUCUUUGUAACUUGGUCACUAUCUUCUAAAAAAUAUUCAUUCUUUAAUGCUUGAAAUAAUUUUUCCCAUGAACCUCCAGAAUGUCCUAUAAUGGACUUCACAUGAUUUUUUAUUUCUGGUGCAAUAGCCAAUUCAAAUAGCUGAACCAUCUCUUUCUCUGAAACAUGCUUAUAUUCCAUUUCUUUUACGUAAUACCUUAAAUAUUUUGUAAUAUUCUUCCCUUCAAAUUGAUCAAUCUUGUCUACAACAGCUUGUAAUACUUUGUCUACUAUACCUUCUUUGCGAUCCUUAACAUGUUGUUGUUGCAUGAAUAAGGCCAAUGCCUCAAAUAUGCUUGCAGAGUUGGGAUCAAAAUACAUACCUUUUCUUUCAAUUGAAGCUCCACUUCCAACUCCACUUGAAGCACCACCAAAAGCUCUUCUUUCCAUUCUCUUACCAUUCUUCUCCAUAAUCCAAAUAGAUCAAAGAAACUCCAAAUACCUCCCACUUCAAGUAUUUCACGUCAGGUUCACCAAAUAAGUCGUAUUACAUGAAGUCUUGCUUGAGAAUGCACCAAGCACCUAGCUAUAGAAGAUAAAAGAAAAUUGCAACAAAAGGUCCUAACAAUCCAAUAGGAUUAUAGAGAAUUUAUAAUUAAACGUUAACAAUCAUAAUCAAAUAUUAAACAAGCUCAAUUAAAUUUUAUUGAAGUUAUAAAAAAAACACAAGAAAAUCCUAAAGAAAUAUAAAAGAAUAUUAAAGAAAAUUUAGUCAAACCCUAAUAAAAAUCUAAUAAAAUCUUAAAUUUUAACCAACUCCUAAUCUUAAUCCAACCUUAAUCAAAUCCUAGAUAAAUCCUAAAUCCUAAACCAAACCCUAAUCAAACCUUAAUCAAAUCCUAAACCUUAAAUCAAUCCCUAAUCAAAUCCUAACCCUAAAAAAUCCUAAACCUUAAAUCAAUCCCUAAUCAAAUCCUAACCCUAACAAAUAUUAAACCCUAAACCAAAUCCUAACCAAAUCCUAACUCAAAUCAAAUCCUAAUUAUAGAUUUGAAAAUUAAAUAACUAAAGAUUGAACCAUUGAUUCUAAUUCAAAAUUUA
rnacentral:lncRNA from 1 species